UCAGAAGCACUCCUAGGGGAAGAGAAGGGUCAGUCCUGGUCCUCUGAGAUUCUCAGUUCAGCAAAGCAUGUAUAUAACGGUCCCUCUGGGUGUGGUCUGUCCCCUGUAGGUGUAGGGAUGUGUGUGUGUGUGUGUGUGUGUGUGUGUGUGCUCUUUGGGUUUGUUGACACACUCAGUGUGCAUGUUUAUGGGAAUGUGUGUAUCUUUACAGUUUCCUGGUGCUUCAUUUUAUAAGUCCCUCAGUGACGUUUGGAAGGUGAACUUUCAGUCAGAUGAGCAUUUCCCAGCAUCCCCUCUUGCCAUCCUCACGAGUCCGUUUCACUGACGUUCCGUUGUACUCUGACCUCGUUCUGUUGCUCUCUUAAGAUGGCACCAAAGAACCAUUCAGGGUUCUUUACUGGGCCAUCUGCACCAGUAGAACGUAGAACAACAUCAAGUCAUGAAACAUGCAUGUCAUGCUGAGGUAUCGGCUGACUGGAACCAAUUCAUGUCGGUUCUGACACGUCUGGGUUGGAUGUGGGCCGGAGUCGGCCCAGAAUUGGGCUGAUGUCUGAGCGACGUCCGGCUCUCCUGUCCCACCUUCCCUCGCGUUUCACAGGUGUGCGUUUCCUAAUCUAGAUGAUGGCGCACCCUAGAAGAUGUUCCGAGGCUGAUCUGGCAGACCUGCGGUGUAGAUCUGGCCCGUGCCGGUACGCUCCAGGGUCUGUGUCUGGUCACGCGGCGUGAGCCCCGGAGCCGUGUUCCGUGUUCCCCCUUCCCUGCAGGCCUGGGGACGGACCGAGAGAAUGCAGAACAGAACGGGCCCAUGACCCGUUACACUGUCAGCCUCGGUCAGGUCCCCCAGGAACCUCAAACUCAUUAGGCUCAAAGGGGAGGGGGGGCACCUAUCAGGCAGGAUUUGUGUGUGUGUGUGUGUGUGUGUAGCAGUGUGUGUGUGUGUGUGUGUGUGUAGCAGUCGUUCUGCUCUGUGCCUCUGUGUGUGUGUGUGUGUGCGUGUGAAAUUUGUAUUUUACUUUCUCACUUGUGUUGAAGCAUUAAAAGCAUAAGGUUAGCUAUACUGCUAUAGCUGAAGCACAUGAGUAAUUUAUUAGUGCGCAUUUAUUAACAUGUAUUUUCAUUUGUCACUAGUGCUGCCAUUUUUAAUAUUAUCACUACCUGUAUUGUUAUAUCUAGAUGGAUGUUUUAUCACCUGUAAGACAUUAAGAUACUGUUGUUUUAUUGUUUUGUUUGUUUUUUUGCAAGCACCAAAGGAAAUAAAGUUGUUAUUGUUACACCGAU